rnacentral:rRNA from 1 species
CUACGGGGCGCAGCAGUAGGGAAUAUUGCACAAUGGGCGAAAGCCUGAUGCAGCAACGCCGCGUGCGCGAUGAAGGCCUUCGGGUUGUAAAGCGCUUUUCUGAGGGAAGAGGAAGGACGGUACCUCAGGAAUAAGUCUCGGCUAACUACGUGCCAGCAGCCGCGGUAACACGUAGGAGGCAAGCGUUAUCCGGAUUUACUGGGCGUAAAGCGCGUGCAGGCGGUUUGGCAAGUCGGAUGUGAAAGCUCCUGGCUCAACUAGGAGAUGCCGUUCGAAACUGCCAGACUCGAGGACGGUAGAGGGAGAUGGAAUUCCCGGUGUAGUAGUGAAAUGCGUAGAUAUCGGGAGGAACACCAGAGGCGAAGGCGGUCUCCUGGGCCGGUCCUGACGCUAAGACGCGAAAGCAUGGGUAGCGAACGGGAUUAGAUACCCCGGUAGUC